rnacentral:rRNA from 1 species
GAUGAACGCUGGCGGCGUGCCUAAUACAUGCAAGUCGAGCGAACAGACGAGGAGCUUGCUCCUCUGACGUUAGCGGCGGACGGGUGAGUAACACGUGGAUAACCUACCUAUAAGACUGGGAUAACUUCGGGAAACCGGAGCUACUACCGGAUAAUAUAUUGAACCGCAUGGUUCAAUAGUGAAAGACGGUUUUGCUGUCACUUAUAGAUGGAUCCGCGCCGCAUUAGCUAGUUGGUAAGGUAACGGCUUACCAAGGCAACGAUGCGUAGCCGACCUGAGAGGGUGAUCGGCCACACUGGAACUGAGACACGGUCCAGACUCCUACGGGAGGCAGCAGUAGGGAAUCUUCCGCAAUGGGCGAAAGCCUGACGGAGCAACGCCGCGUGAGUGAUGAAGGUCUUCGGAUCGUAAAACUCUGUUAUUAGGGAAGAACAAAUGUGUAAUUAACUAUGCACGUCUUGACGGUACCUAAUCAGAAAGCCACGGCUAACUACGUG